UACGUAGGGGGCGAGCGUUGUCCGGAAUCAUUGGGCGUAAAGAGCGUGUAGGUGGCCCGAUAAGUCCGCCGUGAAAGUCCAGGGCUCAACCCUGGAAAGCCGGUGGAUACUGUCGGGCUGGAGUCCGGAAGAGGCGAGUGGAAUUCCUGGUGUAGCGGUGAAAUGCGCAGAUAUCAGGAGGAACACCAAUGGCGAAGGCAGCUCGCUGGGACGGUACUGACACUGAGACGCGAAAGCGUGGGGAGCAAACAGG
rnacentral:rRNA from 1 species